GAAGAGGUUUGGCAGUAACAAAGUUUAGCUAUUCUGCUGGCCAUCACUCCGGAAAGUGUUCCCACGAAGUGGCUGACUUAAAAAGUAAGCUUGACUAAGUAUCAUAUCACAUGAGCAGCACUGGAAAGAGGCAGAGCUGAGGGAAAGAGGGAAGCUUCUGUGUAGACGUCGACUUUACUCUUUGACCACCAUACCUUGCCUUUCAGUUUGUGGGUAGCUUAGGAAACCGAAGUCAGACAACAUAAUUGGCUUUUGGGGGAUAAGAAUUGUGUCUUUCGGAUGUUUCUCAUAGUGCUUUACAGGAUAUACCCUCAAAAGAAGCUGAAAAAAUUUUAAAAAGAAAGUCUGACACAUUUCAAUGCUGUGUUCAAGCCUUCUGUUUUCCAAAAGAGGCCAUCAGGUAUCACAGCAAAUCACUUUUGUGGAUUAUAAAAGGAAGGUGACUUGCAGCUCUAAAAUCUUAAAUUCUCUGCUCCAUGUUCUGUGUUUUAUAAAUAAGCAUAAUUGGUAUUCAGAAAAGAAAUCUGCAAUCUCAGCCUACUUCAGGAUGUUGAUCUCACUCCGGACAAGUAAACACCAAUACCACCAACCUGAGUAGGCCUUCCAUGAAAUACUGGGGACACUAAGAAGCCACACCCCCUGAAACAUUCUAUGGUCAUUCAGCAUUUGAAGCAAAUUGGAAAGGUGAAAAACCUGAUAAGUGGGUGCCUCAUGAGCUCACCGAAAAUUUUUUUAAAAAUUGUCGUUUUGAAGUGUCAUCUUCUCUUAUUCUAUGCAACAACAAUGAACCAUUUCUUGAUUGGAUUGUGAUGUGCGAGGAAAAGUGGAUUUUAUAUGACAACUGGCGAUGACCAGCUCAGUGGUUGGACCGAGAAGAAGCUCCAAAACACUUCCCAAAGCCAAACUUGCACCAAAAAAGGUCCUGGUCACUGCUUGGUGGGCUGCUGCUGGUCUGAUCCACUGCAGCUUUCUGAAUCCCUGGGAAACCAUUACACCUGAGAAGUAUGCUCAGCAAACCAAUGAGAUGCACCAAAAACUGCAAUGCCUGCAGCUGGCUUUGGUCAACAGGAAGGGCCCAAUUCUUCUCCACCACAAUGUCCGACUGCACAUCACAACCCACGCUUCAGAAGUUGAACAAAUUGGGCUACGAAGUUUUGCCUCAUCUCCCAUGUUCACCUGACCUCUCGCUGAGAAGUAGCUUUGGAGCUUCUUCUCGGUCCAAACACUGAGCUGGUCAUCGCCGGUUGUCAUAUAAAAUCCACUUUUCCUCGCACAUCACAAUCCAAUCAAGAAAUGGUUCAUUGUUGUUGCAUAGAAUAAGAGAAGAUGACACUUCAAAACUACCACUUCUUCAAGCAUCUCAACAACUUUUUGCAGGGAAAAUGCUUCCACAACCAGCAGGAUGCAGAAAAUGCUCUCCAAAAGUUUGUCAAAUCCUGAAGCAUGGAUUUUUAGGCUACAGGAAUAAACGUAUUUCUCACUGGCAGAAAUUUAUUGAUUGUAAUGAUUCCUUUUUUGGUUAAAGACAUGUUUGAGCCUAGUUAUAACGACUUACAAUUCACGGUCCAAAACUGCAAGUACUUUUUGCACCAGCGAGAUGUGCAUAUGAGAAGCUUAUUUCACCAAGCCUCUUAUCUAGUCAUCUGUAUAAUUAUUUCAAGCACAGGAGGGACCCUACUUCUUACUGGGGAGGAUUAAGGAAGGCUUCCUGGAGGAUUGUCUCAGAGCUUGCUGCAGGUGCAUAUUGAAAAGCAAUUCAUUACAAUUUUCUAUAAGAGACUGUGGCUGAACAAUGAUACACAGAUUAGCAAACUGAGGCUUGGAGAAGUGGAAAACUUGCCUAAGAUUAAACAGCAUUAAAGGAACAGAGGCUGGGCUUGCAACUCAGCUCUGGGACUCCAAAGUCUGCCCUUUCCAACUACAUCGUCUUGCUGAUCGCGAGCUCAGUUGAUGGUAAAGACCUGUGAUUUUGGCCAUUACAAACAGUGCUGUUGUGAAUGUUGUGCCUGCCUGUCUUCCAGCUGGACAUAGAUUUUGUACCAUAGAAAAAAAGGCUUUACCCACUCAAACAUCCACUGUUUUCAGCAGACAGAGUCCUAAGUGGAUGCCUGAUUGGCUGAUCCUGGGACACGUGCCUGCUCACUGGAUGUACUGAGGCUAUGAGAAGAAGGAUCUGGCAAAACAAACCUCAGGGACCUCAUCAAGAAGGCAGAGGACCUGGACUAACCAUGACAUCCAAACUGAACACAAUUUUAGAGAUAAUUCCCACAGAAGAGACAGGAUUUCUAGAAAAUGGAAAUAGCCCGCUCUUGGAAAAGAAUGGGCAUUUACUGAGAUGCAACUAUAAGCUGGUGAAAUAUAAUUUUGUUUAAAAUCAUUUAAUUUUAUUCCACAUCAUUUUCCUUUGAAGAUAUUUGAAUUGCCAGGGACAUUAAUAUUGUCAAGGAGAUUUGCUGUUUCACCCAAAUAUGAGAUGUCCACUUUGGGAUUAGAUCCCUGCCUCAUUCAAAUUUCCUUUUCCCUUAGUCUUUUCUUGAGUUACGGACAUUUGUUCAUUUUUUUCAACUUAUUCAACAAGUAUUUAUUGAACAACUACUAUGUGCCAUAUACUGUUUUUGGUUUGGUAUGGAAAGCCUGUAGGAAUCUCUGUUGUAAUUUUGGGAAUUUGCCCAACCUGCUCUUUAGGUGGUGCUAUGAACUGACUUGUGUGCUCCCAAAAUUUAUCUGUUGAAGCUCUAAGCUCCAAUGUGAUGAUAUUUGGAGAUGGGAUCUUUGGGAAUUAAUUAAGGUUAGAUGAGGUCAUGAGGAUGAGGCCCUUAUGAUGGGAUUAGUGCCCUUAUAAGAAAACACACCAGAGUGCCUGCUUGCUCUCUCUCUCUGCCAUGUGAAGACACAGUAUGAAGGCAGCUUAUUGCAAGCCUAAGAGAGAACCCUUGCCAGAAUUGGACUUCCGGUCUCCAGAACCAUGAAAACAUAAACUUCUGUUGUUUAAGCCACCCAGUCUACGGAAUUUUGUUCUAGAAGCCCAAGCUGACUAAUAUGGUUGGAGUCCAGUGCUUUGCGUGAAGAAGGUACAUCUCUAAAACUAAACAUUUUGCUCAUUGAAGCUUGAUCUGAAAUAAUUAAGACUUUGGUCGUGAAAAUCUUAGACAGAAUCCAUUCAGUGACUACCUUUAUUCUGAAUUGGCAGGCAGGCAGUUCUGAUAGAUCUGAGAAGAUUCUUUUGACAACAAUUUCUCCAACUUCAGAUAUGUUGAAAAACAAAAUAAAUAUGUUAAUAAUUAACAUGAUGUAAUGAACUUCAGUAGUAAAUUAAGACUAGAAGAGAUUAGGGGUACCAGGAAUCUUGGUUGUAAAGUGGCAUAUAUAAACAUAGUUGCAUCAAAACUUGCUAAAGUGGCCAGGUGCAGUGGCUCAUGCCUGUAAUCCCAGCACUUUGGGAAGCCGAGACAGGUGGAUCACCUGAGGUCAGGAGUUUGAGAUUAGCCUGGCCAACAGGGUGAAACCCUGUCUCUACUGAUAAUACAAAAAUUAGCCAGACAUGGUGGCACACGACUGUAAUCCCAGCUACUUAGGAGGCUGAGGCAGGAGAAUCGCUUGAACCUGGGAGGCAGAGGUUGCAGUGAGCCGGGAUCGCACCAUUGCACUCCAGCCUGGGCAACACGAGCAAAACUCUGUCUCAAAAC
rnacentral:lncRNA from 1 species